rnacentral:rRNA from 1 species
UACGUAGGGCGCGAGCGUUGUCCGGAUUUAUUGGGCGUAAAGAGCUCGUAGGCGGUGUGUCGCGUCGGCCGUGAAAACCUGCAGCUUAACUGUGGGCUUGCGGUCGAUACGGGCAUCACUGGAGUUCGGCAGGGAGACUGGAAUUCCUGGCGUAGCGGUGAAAUGCGCAGAUAUCAGGAGGAACACCGGUGGCGAAGGCGGGUCUCUGGGCCGAUACUGACGCUGAGGAGCGAAAGCGUGGGGAGCGAACAGG